AAUCAGUUAUCGUUUAUUUGAUAGUGCCCUUACUACAUGGAUACCUGUGGUAAUUCUAGAGCUAAUACAUGCUGAAAACCCCGACUUCGGAAGGGGUGUAUUUAUUAGAUAAAAAACCAACGCCCUUCGGGGCUCCUUGGUGAAUCAUAAUAACUUAACGAAUCGCAUGGCCUUGCGCCGGCGAUGGUUCAUUCAAAUUUCUGCCCUAUCAACUUUCGAUGGUAGGAUAGUGGCCUACCAUGGUGGCAACGGGUAACGGGGAAUUAGGGUUCGAUUCCGGAGAGGGAGCCUGAGAAACGGCUACCACAUCCAAGGAAGGCAGCAGGCGCGCAAAUUACCCAAUCCCGAUACGGGGAGGUAGUGACAAUAAAUACUGAUACGGGGCUCUUUUGGGUCUCGUAAUUGGAAUGAGAGCAAUUUAAAUCCCUCACCGAGGAACAAUUGGAGGGCAAGUCUGGUGCCAGCAGCCGCGGUAAUUCCAGCUCCAAUAGCGUAUAUUAAAGUUGUUGCAGUUAAAAAGCUCGUAGUUGAACCUUGGGCCCGGCUGGCCGGUCCGCCUCACCGCGAGUACUGGUCCGGCUGGGCCUUUCCUUCUGGGGAACCUCAUGGCCUUCACUGGCUGUGGGGGGAACCAGGACUUUUACUGUGAAAAAAUUAGAGUGUUCAAAGCAGGCCUUUGCUCGAAUACAUUAGCAUGGAAUAAUAGAAUAGGACGUGCGGUUCUAUUUUGUUGGUUUCUAGGACCGCCGUAAUGAUUAAUAGGGAUAGUCGGGGGCGUCAGUAUUCAGCUGUCAGAGGUGAAAUUCUUGGAUUUGCUGAAGACUAACUACUGCGAAAGCAUUCGCCAAGGAUGUUUUCAUUAAUCAGGGAACGAAAGUUAGGGGAUCGAAGACGAUCAGAUACCGUCGUAGUCUUAACCAUAAACUAU
rnacentral:rRNA from 1 species